CCAGUAUGGACCAGUAUAGACCAGUAUGGACCAGUAGAAACCAGUAUGGACCAGUAUAGACCAGUAUGGACCAGUAGAAACCAGUAUGGACCAAUAGGGACCCAUAGUGGUCAAUAGAGGCCCAUAGGAACCAAUAGAAGAUCCCAGGAGAACCCAUUGUCCAACCCCUUCCAACCCCUUCCAACACCAGUAUGGACCAGUAUGGACCAGUAUAAACCAGUAUGGACCAGUAUAGACCAGUAUAGACCAGUAUGGACCAGUAGAAACCAGUAUAGACCAAUAGGGACCCAUAGGGGUCCAUAGAGAGCCAUAGGAAGCAAUAGAAGAUCCCAGGAGAGCCCAUUGUUGAACCCCUAUCAAACACCAGUAUGGACCAGUAUGGACCAGUAUAGACCAGUAUGGACCAGUAUAGACCAGUAUAGACCAGUAUGGACCAGUAUAGACCAAUAUGGACCAGUAGAAACCAGUAUAGACCAAUAGGGACCAGUAUGGGCCGCUACGGACCCAUAGAGGUCAAUAGAGACCCAUAGGAACCAAUAGAAGAUCCCAGGAGAGCCCAUUGUCCAACCCAUUCCAACACCAGUAUGGACCAGUAUGGACCAGUAUAGACCAGUAUAGACCAGUAUAGACCAGUAUGGACCAGUAGAAACCAGUAUGGACCAGUAGAAACCAGUAUAGACCAAUAGAGACCCAUAGGGGUCAAUAGAGAGCCAUAGGAACCAAUAGAAGAUCCCAGGAGAACCCAUUGUCCAACCCAUUCCAACACCAGUAUGGACCAGUAUGGACCAGUAUAAACCAGUAUGGACCAGUAUAGACCAGUAUGGACCAGUAGAAACCAGUAUAGACCAAUAGGGACCCAUAGAGGUCCAUAGAGAGCCAUAGGAAUCAAUAGAAGAUGCCAGGAGAGCCCAUUGUUGCACCCCUAUCAAACACCAGUAUAGACCAGUAUAGACCAGUAUGGACCAGUAUGGACCAGUAUAGACCACUAUGGACCAGUAUAAACCAGUAUGGACCAAUAGGGACCAGUAUGGGCCACAACGGACCCAUAGGGGUCAAUAGAGACCCAUAGGAACCAAUAGAAGAUCCCAGGAGAACCCAUUGUCCAACCCCUUCCCACACCAGUAUGGACCAGUAUGGACCAGUAUGAACCAGUAUGGACCAGUAUAGACCAG
ensembl:lncRNA